GGUAGCCGGCCUGAGAGGGUGUCCGGCCACACUGGGACUGANAUACGGCCCAGACUCCUACGGGAGGNAGCAGUGGGGAAUAUUGCACAAUGGGCGCAAGCCUGAUGCAGCGACGCCGCGUGGGGGAUGACGGCCUUCGGGUUGUAAACCUCUUUCAAUAGGGACGAAGCGCAAGUGACGGUACCURUAGAAGAAGCACCGGCCAACUACGUGCCAGCAGCCGCGGUAAUACGUAGGGUGCGAGCGUUGUCCGGAAUUACUGGGCGUAAAGAGCUCGUAGGUGGUUUGUCGCGUUGUCCGUGAAAUUUCACAACUCAAUUGUGAGCGUGCGGGCGAUACGGGCAGACUGGAGUACUGCAGGGGA
rnacentral:rRNA from 1 species